rnacentral:misc_RNA from 1 species
CGAGAGUUGCAAAGCUCCCAACCCAUUGUUAACCUACCUGUGACAACGUGCUUCGGCAGACAGCCCCGUGGGACGGGACCGUUGCCUUCCUUGUGAAGGUGUCUGCCGCUAGCCAACCUAUACUCUGUUAUUUUUACCAUCUGAGUCUUUUAUAAAUAAUUA